rnacentral:lncRNA from 1 species
UUAAAACCCUAUGAUUGUAGUUUAUAAAAGUAGGGAUCGUUUUAGGCCAGGGAUUAGAAGGGCUGCUAAUCUACACAAAUUAAACUCUAAAACACUAAACUAGACUCAAAAACACAAAACUAGACUCUUAUGACUCAAAGCUGAACAAACUAACUUAAAACAUCACAAUAUUAGCAAUUAGACUCAAAACAGACUCUAGGGAGUUAUUUGGACAAAUUUAAGACUAGUAAGACUCAAAACACUAUAUUGGAUAGAUUUGAACACGUUUCUAACUAAUCUAACACAUUUAAUUGAAAGGAGAAUUGUUUUGGACGAAAUUUGACUAAACUAAACAGAUUGCAAAACAAAGUAAAUUAGGUGAAUUGAAUGGUGAAAAACUAGCCAGAGGAUCCUUUUCUACACUUGAAACAUAUGCAUACAAAUUGAUUUCCAGUAUUGUUUCUUCCCACCAUGAAUGACAAUGCCCUAAAUUAAUUGUGAAUGCACUAAUUAACUCUCAGAUUUUCCUAAGUUCAUUGAAUUGAAUGGAUAGCACAUCGCAACCAAAUUAUUCUUCUCAAGUUCCCUAUAUGAACAGCAUGAUAGAGAUACAUAUCAAAUAUCAUUAAGUUCUAUGAAAAUCAUAAGCAUUGACAAGACAUUCGUAACUAUGAACUGCAUGAUACUCCUACCAAGAAUUUACUUAACACGAUUGUGAAUAGCAAUCUCCACUACUUAUAAAUACAAAUUCAUAACAAUUAGGUGAAAUUCCCUUAUAUUUUAGCAUCAAAUCCCUGCAUGCAAACUAAGUAUGCAUCCUUAAUAAACACACAAGAAUAAGUUCUCAAUAAUGCAGAUAAGUAAAUCACAUUCAUGUUUUACGAAACAAUAACUGAAGCUAAUCAAUUCAUAUUAAACAUAUGUCCAUGGCUUCGAAUUCACCUCUAACUAAAAAGGAAUUAGUUCCUCAUGUUCAUAAUAAUUGAAAAGCAAAGUAAAAUAA